UACGUAGGGCGCAAGCGUUGUCCGGAAUUAUUGGGCGUAAAGAGCUCGUAGGCGGCCUGUUACGUCUGCUGUGAAAUCCCGGGGCUUAACCCCGGGCGUGCAGUGGAUACGGGCAGGCUGGAGGCAGGCAGGGGAGAACGGAAUUCCCGGUGUAGCGGUGAAAUGCGCGAGAUAGUCGGGAGGAACACCGGUGGCGAAGGCGGUUUUCUGGGCCUGUACUGACGCUGAGGAGCGAAAGCGUGGGGAGCGAACAGG
rnacentral:rRNA from 1 species